CCCUUCCCAGAUCUCAUUUAAAGGUUUUCAGUAGAGGCAAGGGUGUCUUGCUGGAGAUCCCUGCCUACCUGAGAUCUUCUGAAGAUUUAUUAUUAUGCAGAUGCACAGACAACUCACACUGCUUAUCCAGAGGGCCUAGAGGUGCUGCAGUUCCCUAAUAAUCAGAUAGAAAAGCAUUAUCCUGAUGGCACACAAGAAAUUGUGUUCCCUGAUCACACAGUGAAAUGCCUCUACAGUGAUGGAUUCGAGGAAACUUUUUUCCCAGAUGGUACAAUAGUAAAAGUAGAAAAGAACGGUGAUAAACUAGUGGUAUUCAGUAAUGGCCAGAAGGAGUUUCACACUGCACAGUUCAAGAGGAGGGAAUACCCAGAUGGAACCAUAAAGACUGUGUACUGCAAUGGCAGGCAAGAAACCAAGUAUUUGUCUGGACGGGUUCGAAUCAAAGAUGAAGAGGGUAAUAUCAUUCUAGAUAAGAAGUGAUUCCUCCUCUCAGUGGCUGCACUGAGUAAGUGGCUCAACAAAUUUUGUCUGUAUGAUUUAGUCUCUCCUCUGGACACGUGUGCCGGUUUAAAAGAUUCUUUACUGAUGCCUCUAAUGCUUUUCUGUUGCUGUUAAUUAUUAAGAUUAGAACAUGUGAAGCAGUGAAAACCACUACUUCUAAUGAAAUAAAUUAAGGAUAAUACUCUCAA